UACGAAGGGGGCUAGCGUUGCUCGGAAUCACUGGGCGUAAAGCGCACGUAGGCGGCUUGUUAAGUCAGGGGUGAAAUCCUGGAGCUCAACUCCAGAACUGCCUUUGAUACUGGCGAUCUCGAGUCCGGGAGAGGAGAGUGGAACUGCGAGUGUAGAGGUGAAAUUCGUAGAUAUUCGCAAGAACACCAGUGGCGAAGGCGGCUCACUGGCCCGGUACUGACGCUGAGGUGCGAAAGCGUGGGGAGCAAACAGG
rnacentral:rRNA from 1 species